AUUGAACGCUGGCGGAAUGCUUUGCACAUGCAAGUCGAGCGGCAGCACGGGGGCAACCCUGGUGGCGAGCGGCGAACGGGUGAGUAAUACAUCGGAACAUGCCCAGUCGUGGGGGAUAACACUUCGAAAGAAGUGCUAAUACCGCAUACGUCCUGAGGGAGAAAGCGGGGGAUCGCAAGACCUCGCGCGAUUGGAGUGGCCGAUGUCAGAUUAGCUAGUUGGUGGGGUAAAGGCCUACCAAGGCAACGAUCUGUAGCUGGUCUGAGAGGAUGAUCAGCCACACUGGGACUGAGACACGGCCCAGACUCCUACGGGAGGCAGCAGUGGGGAAUUUUGGACAAUGGGGGCAACCCUGAUCCAGCCAUUCCGCGUGAGUGAAGAAGGCCUUCGGGUUGUAAAGCUCUUUCGGCAGGAACGAAACGGCGAGCUCUAACAUAGCUUGCUAAUGACGGUACCUGAAGAAGAAGCACCGGCUAACUACGUG
rnacentral:rRNA from 1 species